GUGGUAGCCGAAGGGGCAGAAAAAUAUCAUCUUUAUAUCCCUAACACUAAAAUGUUCCUUUAACUUCACUGGCGUAUUUAGUAAAGUGAGAAUUGUCAGGGAUUCAAGGAUUAAGGCUAAAAAAUCCAAAUUGGAAAAUGUAUCCUAGUCUCCAGUUUGACUAGUUUGGCCUUCACAUUGAAAUUCCCAAUAAUUUUCAGUUUAGUAAAUAAGCAUGUUUG